GGUUCUAUAGUUUAAUUGGAAAAACUUCAGAAUACGAAUCUGAGAACGAGGGUUCGAAUCCUUCUAGAACCU
rnacentral:tRNA from 1 species